AUUGAACGCUGGCGGCAGGCCUAACACAUGCAAGUCGAGCGGAUGAAGGGAGCUUGCUCCUGGAUUCAGCGGCGGACGGGUGAGUAAUGCCUAGGAAUCUGCCUGGUAGUGGGGGAUAACGUCCGGAAACGGGCGCUAAUACCGCAUACGUCCUGAGGGAGAAAGUGGGGGAUCUUCGGACCUCACGCUAUCAGAUGAGCCUAGGUCGGAUUAGCUAGUUGGUGGGGUAAAGGCCUACCAAGGCGACGAUCCGUAACUGGUCUGAGAGGAUGAUCAGUCACACUAGAACUGAGACACGGUCCAGACUCCGACGGGAGGGAGCAGUGGGGAAUAUUGGACAAUGGGCGAAAGCCUGAUCCAGCCAUGCCGCGUGUGUGAAGAAGAUCUUCGGAUUGUAAAGCACUUUAAGUUGGGAGGAAGGGCAAUAAGUUAAUACAUUACUGUUUUGACGUUACCAACAGAAUAAGCACCGGCUAACUUCGUG
rnacentral:rRNA from 1 species